rnacentral:sRNA from 1 species
CGGUUGAUGUAGUGGUUGUUGAGAUUUUCUUGUUUGUUUUUUGACUUUAUUUUUCUUGCCACUUUAAACAGGCUGGCAAAGCUUGUAGAACAUAAAAUGAUCAAAUAACAAAUUUUGUUAUUUUAGAUUUUGAAAGGAAUUCAUAAUUUUAGAGCCUCUGGAGAUUAUGACAAUGACUGUACAAAUCCUAUAACACCUCUUUGUACACAGCCUGACCAGGUUAUUAAAGGGGGUGCUAGUAUUAUUCAGUGCCACAUUCUUAAUGAUAAGAGACAUAUAUUAACCAAAGAUACCAAUAAUAAUGUGGCAUAUUGGGAUGUAUUGAAGGCAUGUAAAGUUGAAGAUCUGGGCAAAGUGGAU